AUUGAACGCUGGCGGCGGGCCUAACACAUGCAAGUCGAACGGUAACAGGAAGCAGCUUGCUGCUUCGCUGACGAGUGGCGGACGGGUGAGUAAUGUCUGGGAAACUGCCUGAUGGAGGGGGAUAACUACUGGAAACGGUAGCUACUACCGCAUAACGUCGCAAGACCAAAGAGGGGGACCUUAGGGCCUCUUGCCAUCGGAUGUGCCCCGAUGGGAUUAGCUAGUCGGUGGGGUAACGGCUCACCUAGGCGACGAUCCCGAGCUGGUCUGAGGGGAGGACCACCCACACUGGAACUGAGACACGGUCCAGACUCCUACGGGAGGCAGCAGUGGGGAAUAUUGCACAAAGGGCGCAAGCAUGAUGCAGCCAUGCCGCGUGUAUGAAGAAGGCCUUCGGGUUGUAAAGUACUUUCAGCGGGGAGGAAGGGAGUAAAGUUAAUACCUUUGCUCAUUGACGUUACCCGCAGAAGAAGCACCGGCUAACUCCGUG
rnacentral:rRNA from 1 species